rnacentral:rRNA from 1 species
UACAGAGGGUGCGAGCGUUAAUCGGAGUUACUGGGCGUAAAGGGCGCGUAGGCGGUACGAUGUGUGUGAUGUGAAAGCCCCGGGCUUAACCUGGGAAGUGCAUCGCAAACUAUCGAACUAGAGUAUAUGAGAGGGUGGCGGAAUUUCCGGUGUAGCGGUGAAAUGCGUAGAUAUCAAGUGGAACACCAGUGGCGAAGGCGAGUCUCUGGACAUCUCCUGACGCUGAGGCACGAAAGCCAGGGGAGCAAACGGG